rnacentral:rRNA from 1 species
UACAGAGGGGGCAAGCGUUGUUCGGAAUUACUGGGCGUAAAGGGCGCGUAGGCGGCCUUCUGAGUCGAACGUGAAAUCCCCGGGCUCAACCCGGGAACUGCGUCCGAUACUGGAAGGCUUGAAUCCGGGAGAGGGAUGCGGAAUUCCAGGUGUAGCGGUGAAAUGCGUAGAGAUGUGGAGGAACACCGAUGGCGAAGGCAGCCCCCUGGGCCAAUACUGACGCUCAUGCACGAAAGCGUGGGGAGCAAACAGG